CCACCCCCAACAGAGCCUGAGAAUUAACAAUGGGUUUUGCAAAACCCGCUUUCAGAGGCCGAACUAACAGCCUGAGUGGAUAACGUCAUUUACUGUUACAGGUCUGAGCGUUGGCCUCAGAACUCCUCUGGUGCUGGGAGUGAGGAGUUUCAAGGUGACUGCUUUUUAGCUCCAGGGGAGAAAGGAGGGCACAGUGCCCAAGGCCAUGCCAGGGCAAGGACGGGGCCACUGGCCCCCGCCGGCUGGUAGAGUCAACCAGAGGCAAAGCCAGAUUGAGGGUUCCCAGGCUGACAAAUGUCUGCUGCCUCUGCCACAGGAGAGAGAAGGGGAAAGAGGGCAAAAGAAACAAAGACAUCAUGCAUUGCAAGUGGCUGGACUUUUAAAAACCUACCUUUGCCUCCAGGGUUUUCUAGGUUACUGUCACCCCACUUCCUAAAAAGUGUCUCCCCCCUCAUCCUAUUUAAGACCUGAUGCAGUCUCCCCACUGGUUCUCCCAGGGAAAGAAAAGGGGAAAUGUUUUGUUGAAAAUAAAAGGGGUGACAAGAAAGAAAGGAAAAAAAGCUAUUGUUUUCAUCCCUAAUUUAUAAUCCAAGAGGCCCCCAAUUGUUUCUUUCUUUCUGACUCAAAUCUUUGAGCUGUUAAUUAUAAAAGUAACUGGACUUGGCGCCAACGGGCUAACUAUGAUCAGGCUCAGCAAUUAGAAAAACUCUGUAGAAAGUUUACUGAGUGAUUAUAUAUAAUUAAUUCCUAGUUACAGACUGAACACUGACCAUUUUCUGGAGCUAAUAAAAGCAGUUACUCCCCCUCCCCCACGUGAAUGCCACUUAAUUUCCCAAAGCAGAAAGUGAAUCCAUCCUGGAGGGUCUUGAAGGAAAAAAAAGGAGAGGAAUCAAAAGCUUCAGUGUGUCUGUGUUUGCUCCUUGCUGCUGUGUAUCCUCUUUGGGGACUGAGGAGGCAGAAGGAAAAAGGAAAACAGCCCAACAUUCUGUUCCUCCUUCUGCAAUUUACAAACGUGGCAGAGAGAACAUUCUACCUUGAUGAGAAAAAGAAGGGGGGUUGGGGGGAAGCAGGGAAGGGAGAUGACCUAGGAAUGGAAGGUAGGAGACUCUUCUGCUUGGCAGAUCUGCUUUUCCUAAAAGGAACAAAGAUGGUAGAAAUUUCCAGAAGGCCCGUUCUUAGUUCGGCCACUGCAAUUGUCAAUCUUUAACCUUUCCUCCAAGUCUAUUGGUUUAAAAGCUAGAGUAGAAGAACCCCAUUGGGCUGCUCUGGGAGCCAGUACUGCCGUCCCUACCUAGUCCUGCUGCAAUGCAGACAUUUAUUUUUUUUCCCCUUUCCUGAAACUGGAAAAUAAUGCUACUUUGAAAGCAAUUAACUUUUUACAGACUCAUGCUUGGUAGGGGUCACAGUACCAGAGGAAAAGUGGCUAGCUUGGUCCAGGGUUGGGAACUUGCUGGGGGCUGUACAUUUGAAAACAGAUCUUGGCUCUCCAAACCUGUGGGAGCCAUUUUAAUGCAAGCUUUCAGAGGACAAAUGACUUGCCCUUAAGUUCCCUUCCAGCCCAACAAACACAGUAUUAUGCAAACGUUGAAGGCACCAAACCAGGAGUCUUAUGAUUAGAUAUUGCUUCUAGGGAGGCCACAAGAACCUCGAUAUGUAAUUUCCAUUUACAGCAAGGAGAUAAGAACAAAGAAAAUAGCUGAGUGUCUGAACUUACUUGUUUGGGGCAGUGGCACUGUUCAGUUUUAAGUAUAUAACAUCAUUAACUGCCUGCAGUUUUACUCUAAGAAGCUAAGCUGGCCUGCCUUGCACAGACUUUUCUCAACUUAGAAUGUGGUACGUUUCUCCUGAUUAAAUGAGCCUUUUUCCAAUUCAGUGUCAGAAA